rnacentral:rRNA from 1 species
CUACGGGCGGCUCCAGUGGGGAAUAUUGCACAAUGGAGGAAACUCUGAUGCAGCAACGCCGCGUGGAGGAUGACACAUUUCGGUGCGUAAACUCCUUUUAUAUGAGAAGAUAAUGACGGUAUCAUAUGAAUAAGCACCGGCUAACUCCGUGCCAGCAGCCGCGGUAAUACGGGGGGUGCAAGCGUUACUCGGAAUCACUGGGCGUAAAGAGCAUGUAGGCGGAUAGAAAAGUUGGAAGUGAAAUCCUGUGGCUUAACCAUAGAACUGCUUCCAAAACUCUCUAUCUAGAAUAUGGGAGAGGUAGAUGGAAUUUCUGGUGUAGGGGUAAAAUCCGUAGAGAUCAGAAGGAAUACCGAUUGCGAAGGCGAUCUACUGGAACAUUAUUGACGCUGAGAUGCGAAAGCGUGGGGAGCAAACAGGAUUAGAUACCCUCGUAGUC